UUCAUUCUCCCCCGCCUCUUACUCUCUCCAUUUUCUCUGUGAACAUGUAACCCUAACCUAUUAUAUGUGUUUUGUGUCUAUCUUACAUCUUCUAAUGUUUCUGCAAUAAAUUGAAACGCGAUCUGAUCGAAGAAGAAGAAAUUUUGUUUUUCUAUUUCUGUUUAUACUUACUCGGAACAACAGCUAAGUGAAUCUAUGAACUGAUUUCAGUUUCAAUUGUUUUUUGUUUGAUCGAUUAUGAGUUACUUUUGAUGACAUAUUUCUAAUCUUGUUUUUCUGUGUGAUUUAUUAGGUUUUUUCGAAGGAGAACGAGUAGAGGAGAAACCCUAAAUUUAUCAGCAAGAAGAGAAGAAAUCCUAGCCUCUAUUUUGGAACCAAAGUGAGUUCUUCUUCGGUUUUCUUGGUGAAGUCAAUCUUUCAACUCAGCAAGCAGAAGUUUUAAGGAUCAACAAACUUUAAAAUGGAGGAAAACUAUGGAGCUAAGGUGGGGGGCAUGUGUGGACUGCAGAACAUUGGGAGAACGAAAGACAAAGAAUGACGUAACUCGGAAGGAUCUAUCUUUGCUUCUAUUCCAACAACAUUAUUUUGGAUGGCUUAUAUUGCUUGUUCGUUGCUUACAUGGAGUUGAUGGGGUCAGUUAUCUCUCAUUACAAGGAAUCAGUAACACCUCCAAGGAAUCAACCUGUCUAAUUUUAGGCCAUUUGGAAGGCUUUGGCAGGACUACUUUUAAUUCUUUACCAAUCAGGUGAAU